GUACUAAUGAAGAGUCCCAAACUAGGACGAAACGGCUGUCCAGUAC
rnacentral:hammerhead_ribozyme from 1 species